rnacentral:rRNA from 1 species
CCUACGGGAGGCUGCAGUGGGGAAUAUUGGACAAUGGGGGGAACCCUGAUCCAGCGACGCCGCGUGAGUGAAGAAGUAUUUCGGUAUGUAAAGCUCUAUCAGCAGGGAAGAAAGAAAUGACGGUACCUGACUAAGAAGCCCCGGCUAACUACGUGCCAGCAGCCGCGGUAAUACGUAGGGGGCAAGCGUUAUCCGGCUUUACGGGGUGUAAAGGGAGCGUAGACGGUUACGCAAGUCUGGAGUGAAAGGCGGGGGCCCAACCCCCGGACUGCUUUGGAAACUGUAUAACUGGAGUGUAGGAGAGGUAAGUGGAAUUCCUAGUGUAGCGGUGAAAUGCGUAGAGAUUAGGAGGAAUACUAGUGGCGAAGGCGACUUACUGGACUGUAACUGACGUUGAUGCGCGAAAGCGUGGGGAGCAAACAGGAUUAGAUACCCCAGUAGUC